GUCUUUUGGAAAAUGUUGUUUGUGCUGUUUUUAGACCCUUCUACAACGAAAUUUGUUUGACAUGCACACGUAUAAAAAUUGCGGUUUUUAUCCAACGCAGUCAUAGGUUUGAACGAAGUUUUCAAUUUAGACUCGUUUAUAUUUUUUGUUUGGGCAUGUAUCAUAUUUUCCCUCCGGUUUAUAUGAUCCGUUCAUCCUAUAUAUUGACUCUUAAAAUUCAAGAGUUAAUCUAAAAAUGAGGGUACUUUCUCUAAAAAUGAGGGUGCUUUUUAUAUGGCCUUCCAAAUACCGUUUCGAUCCCUAACAUCACUGAAGAGACAUUUAUUGUCGAAAUCCGGAUAUGGUGUACUAAAGAAAUAUUGACACCGAAUGUUUGUGGCACAACAUCCUGUCCACAAGUUAACAAUUUUUUUUUUCUGUGACGUAUUAAAUUUAUAAUAAGAUCCAUUUUGUUACAACCUGUGAUCAAUUUUAUUUGGCAAUCGCCAAUGGCAGUCAGCAGGGUUAAAGAACAUCAGUUGUUCGACCUGUUAGUCAAAUGCGUUUUGUUUAAAUAUACUUUUUCACUCUUUUGGUCUUUUGGAAAAUGUUGUUUGUGCUGUUUUUAGACCCUUCUACAACGAAAUUUGUUUGACAUGCACACGUAUAAAAAUUGCGGUUUUUAUCCAACGCAGUCAUAGGUUUGAACGUAGUUUUCAAUUUAGACUCGUAUAUAUAUAUAUAUAUAUAUAUAUAUAUAUAU
rnacentral:lncRNA from 1 species